AACGAACGCUGGCGGCAGGCUUAACACAUGCAAGUCGAACGAUGUAGCAAUACAUAGUGGCGCACGGGUGAGUAACGCGUGGGAAUAUACCUUAUAGUGGGGAAUAACUUUGGGAAACUAAAGCUAAUACCGCAUACGCCCGAGAGGGGAAAGAUUUAUCGCUAUAAGAUUAGCCCGCGUGAGAUUAGGUAGUUGGUGGGGUAAUGGCCUACCAAGCCUACGAUCUCUAGCUGGUCUGAGAGGAUGAUCAGCCACACUGGAACUGAGACACGGUCCAGACUCCUACGGGAGGCAGCAGUGGGGAAUAUUGGGGCAAUGGACGAAAGUCUGACCCAGCCAUGCCGCGUGAAUGAUGAAGGCCUUAGGGUUGUAAAGUUCUUUCGCCGAUGAAGAUAAUGACGGUAGUCGGAGAAGAAGCCCGGCUAACUUCGUGCCAGCAGCCGCGGUAAAGUGACUACUG
rnacentral:rRNA from 1 species